rnacentral:lncRNA from 10 species
GGGAAGUAGAACGUGUUGGUGAAAAUGAGACUAGAGAAAAAUGAAAGCAGAUUUAUAACACUCUACAUUCAGGAAAACACAUGACUGAGUCUGUUGUAUGCAACAUGGCUUGCUGAAAGUGCUCUAAAGUAGGAGACAGGAGAGAAAGAGAAAAAGUCUACUCUGAGCUCAGGCAGUAACUGACUGGUGUAAACUCCCUGGCCUUUAUGUGGAGGGACCGUAAAACAAAAAGAAUUGCAAACCUCUGCCACAGUACCCACUACUUUCUACUUGACUCUGUUAUUUCUGGAUCUGCCUACCAGAGUCCAUAUUCCUCACUGAAGAUGGAGUUUAGGUGUGGAAAAAGUCUACAUGCAAAGUAACUACUAAUGAAAGUUUGUGAAGAUGUUAAAAUCAACAAAUUAA